AACGAACGCUGGCGGCAUGCCUAACACAUGCAAGUCGAACGAAGCCUUCGGGCUUAGUGGCGCACGGGUGCGUAACGCGUGGGAAUCUGCCCUUUGGUUCGGAAUAACAGUUGGAAACGACUGCUAAUACCGGAUGAUGACGAAAGUCCAAAGAUUUAUCGCCAGAGGAUGAGCCCGCGUAGGAUUAGCUAGUUGGUGUGGUAAAGGCGCACCAAGGCGACGAUCCUUAGCUGGUCUGAGAGGAUGAUCAGCCACACUGGGACUGAGACACGGCCCAGACUCCUACGGGAGGAAGCAGUGGGGAAUGUUGGACAAUGGGCGAAAGCCUGAUCCAGCAAUGCCGCGUGAAUGAUGAAGGCCCUAGGGUUGUAAAGCUCUUUUACCCGGGAUGAUAAUGACAGUACCGAGAGAAUAAGCCCCGGCUAACUCCGUGCCAGCCGCCGCCGUAA
rnacentral:rRNA from 1 species